ACGUAGGUGGCGAGCGUUAUCCGGAUUUACUGGGUGUAAAGGGCGUGUAGGCGGAUUCUCAAGUUGGAUGUGAAACCCCUUGGCUAAACUGAGGGCUUGCAUUCAAAACUGAGGACCUUGAGUAUCAGAGGGGAAAGUGGAAUUCCUGGUGGAGCGGUAAAAUGCGUAGAGAUCAGGAGGAACACCGGUGGCGAAGGCGACUUUCUGGCUGACAACUGACGCUGAGGCGCGAAAGCGUGGGGAGCAAACAG
rnacentral:rRNA from 1 species